UACGUAGGGUGCAAGCGUUUGUCCGGAAUUAUUGGGCGUAAAGAGCUUGUAAGCGGUUUGUCGCGUCUGCUGUGAAAUUUCGGGGCUCAACCCCGAACUUGCAGUGGGUACGGGCAGACUAGAGUGUGGUAGGGGAGACUGGAAUUCCUGGUGUAGCGGUGGAAUGCGCAGAUAUCAGGAGGAACACCGGUGGCGAAGGCGGGAUCCUGGGCCAGUACUGACGCUGAGGAGCGAAAGCGUGGGGAGCAAACAGGG
rnacentral:rRNA from 1 species